CUCCAGGAUUGCUCAAGUUAACAUCCUUACUGGCCAUUUCAGGGUUUUUUUUCUACAAUUCUUUAUAUUUCACAUCAAAUUUCCUUAAAAUACAAUUCUAGUCUUUAUUUGAAAUCAAAAUCACAUGUAUUUCACUCAGUUCUGGGUCUUUUAUUCUAUUUUCAACUUUACCAAGGGGAAGAACUCUGCUGGAAACAGUGAUGUGAAGAGGGCAGUUUUUGUUCACUCAUUUCAAGAUAUAAUUAACAAUAACUCCCCAUGUAUGAUACAUCAUUUUAUUCGGAAAAACUUAAAUUUUUAAACAGUAUAGGUAUUUCAUGAUGUCGUAGAAUUUCCGCAGUCUUUAAAGUCUCAAUAUACCUGGCGAAUUGCCAAUACGAAGCUAAAGUGACCAGGUUAAAAUGUAAAUAUGUUAAAAGAGUAUUUUAUAGAAUUUAAAUAAUUUCAUUGUUAUUAAUACCUGUAUUAAUAUAGUGAGGUGACCAUUCUACAUUGAUCCAGUGCCUUUUUAUGGGAUUCGAAAUUGUGACUGUGAGAUGUAUGAGAGUUUGACUUCUAGGCGGGCAAUUCUACUUUCACUUUAAACGGAUGGCAGGUGCCUGGGUGUAUCUCGACCCAUUUCCAGGCUAGCAUCAGAUGUCAUGAUGGACCUUUAAAAUCUUUCACAUGUGUACUUUCAAGAACCAUAUACAUUAUUUUUGAAAAUUGGUUGCCAUGGUAAUAAAAUCUGAAAAUUGAAA